GCAAGGGUGGUGGAAUUGGCAUACACGCAAGUUUGAGGGACUUGUGCCGUAAUGGUGUGUGGGUUCGAGUCCCAUCCCUUGCA
rnacentral:tRNA from 1 species